CGGCUGAGUAACGCGUGGGUGACGUACCUAUCGGUGGGGAAUAACUGCCCGAAAGGGUGGCUAAUACCGCAUACGUCCACUGCUUCGUGGCAGUGGGGAAAACCGCAAGGUGCCGAUGGGGCGGCCCGCGUUCGAUUAGCUGGUUGGUGGGGUAACGGCCUACCAAGGCGACGAUCGAUAGCUGGUCUCAGAGGAUGAUCAGCCAGACUGGGACUGAGACACGGCCCAG
rnacentral:rRNA from 1 species